CGUCCUCUUUUGUUGCCAGAACCAAGCGUACAGGCUAGGGUUCCUCGCUCCGGCCGAAUCCUCCGCCGCCCUCUCUCCCAUGAGUUCCCGCUGCCUUCUCUGCCCAUCAUGCCUCCCGCCGGUGAAUCCCGUCUCCCGGCCUCCCGUGGGCUCCUCAUCGCCUGCAAGAGUUGUGUAGGUCGCCGCCACCCCUCUUCCUCCGGCCACGCCCGAGGAGCUUGAGCUUCUACGGCGGAGCACGGCCAUGCCGACACCAUCCCUUUGCCUCGCACCAGCCCGCCGACGGGCGAGUGCGCCGUCCAACCUCCAAGUCCGGCGCCGCCCAGCGCGUCGCUGCCCGGCCUGCACAACUCGAGGAUGCCGACGCCCCUGCACCGCUGUACGCGUAUCCUCACUGCUGCCCUGCGCGCCGUCGCCCUGCUUGACGCGAGGACGCCACUGCCUCCGCUCAUCUGUCGUUCGCCACCAAGGUCUGUCAGUUUAUCUUAGAGGGAGGCUUCCCUGCCUCUGUCUAACGCUGGAUAGUGUCUCCUCCAGGUUUCCUCUUCAAAUUUUGGCAAAUUAUUUUUUCUUAAGGUUAUAUGAUCAAAUGAUUAAAUUGUUGGAACUUCUGUCAUAGCACUACUACCAUGGCCUACUGAAAUAUCCUCAAGACUCUCAAUCGUAUAUAUGUCUGAAUAUAUGCAGGGAGCAAGUAUUCCACUCGUGUGGCUAGAGUGUGCUGUGUCAAACACCACAAUGGCUUCUUUGUUUACAGAAAGCUUGCGUAGAUGAGCUCUGACGUCAUGUCCAUGGCGGGUUAGAGUUCCGUUGUGGAAGCCCCACACAGAGAGGCUGGUGCACGCAUUGAUGACCACAACCUUUGGAGGUGACGCAGGUGGUAGCCUCUGUGUCGACGGGCUCCCGCGACACGCUACGGAAGCUUCGAUGCCGAGGUCCACAUCCACAGGUAGGUAUUUUCUGGUGAUGUUUGUGAUUGAGUUAUUCAUAUAUACUUACAUGGUGCAAAGCAGAAACGCUUCUUCAUUUUGGACCAGUCACCUAAGAAGCUUGAUGCACCUGCGAACAUAUUGGAAUUUGAAGCAAGGCGAGAGGAUGCCGAGUUCCUCACUGCGCGCGGCCUCGGCGUGCCUGCGUGUGGCAGUAAAUAGACGAGCUGUCGCCGCCAACCAUGCCACCGGCCAACCCCGACUUAUUUUUUUAUUUUGGCAUUUCUGGUCCCUGUUUGGGUGUCGUGUUAAUAAUUUGUUUUUGCUAAUGCUUUAUUUAGUAGUUAUGGCCUGAACACUUUUUUAUGAUGGAACUCUUUCGGUCUUGCUCAGGUGAUUUGUUUAGGAAGCUAGAUGAAAUUCUUAUUUGUUCCUAAUUCAUAUGCAACGUUAUAGAGCUUGCAUGGUGCAUAAUAUGAACAAUACUUUUUCUUUAA